rnacentral:tRNA from 1 species
GGGGCGGUAGUUCAGACGUGCAGAACGCCGGCCUGUCACGCCGGAGGUCGCGGGUUCAAGUCCCGUCCGCCCCGCCA